rnacentral:rRNA from 1 species
AACGAACGCUGGCGGCAUGCCUAACACAUGCAAGUCGAACGAGACCUUCGGGUCUAGUGGCGCACGGGUGCGUAACGCGUGGGAACCUGCCCUUAGGUUCGGAAUACCUCCCCGAAAGGGGUGCUAAUACCGGAUAAUGUCUUCGGACCAAAGAUUUAUCGCCUUUGGAUGGGCCCGCGUUGGAUUAGCUAGUUGGUAGGGUAAACGCCUACCAAGGCGACGAUCCGUAGCUGGUCUGAGAGGAUGAUCAGCCACACUGGGACUGAGACACGGCCCAGACUGCUACGAGAGGCAGCAGUGGGGAAUAUUGGACAGGGAGCGAAAGGCUGAUCCAGCAAGGCCGCGUGAGUGAUGAAGGCCUUAGGGUUGUAAAGCUCUUUUACCCGGGAGGAUAAUGACAGAACCGGGAGAAUAAGCUCCGGCUAACACCGU